UGGCUGCAUCUGGAUUGUGUGCUCCUUUUCAAUUGGAAAGAGAUAAUCAGGUGAAUGGUGUUGUUGGUGAUCCUCACGUUCGUGCCCCUCUCUUUGGUAUCUCGAUAUGAAAUUUCAAUAUUUCAUGGUUCCUACAUAUAAUGUAUUGUUGUUGUACCAUUGGUUGCAGUUUCAGAGGUAUCCUUUACCUCAGCCUCCACCAGCCUUAGGUUCAGCAGUGAAAAAGGGCUUCCACUGCGGAGAUUGACGGGGCAGAAUUAGAGACUGACAUGUGCAUGUCUUGGGACAUCUCUUCAUUGAUAUGACGGUGAAUCAUGUAUUUUAAGUAAUUCCUUUUAUGAUUACUUGAUGUAUACUGCCAACUGUAAGUAUUUUACCUCUUAAAUGUGUUGUAGGGUUUGAUGGAGGAUGAAAGCAUGCAAGAUGAAAGAGAGUUAAGAUUCACAAACCAAGUUAAUCAGGAACUAAACAUUUGCUACUUCAAUCCAAAAGUGUUGUAUGCACAUUGUUCUAUGCUCAACUUAGUUGACACAGCCAUCCAAAUCAGUUAUAGUUCCGAAUAAGAUUUGCAUGGGUUACUUAUGACUGGAGACAAAAAGAUAUGUGCCUUCAAAUUCAAGGUGGUGCCAAAGGACAAUACGCUUGAUUGAGUAACCCUUCCUAGAUUUUAAGUUUUGUCUACAAAUAAGGCAUCCAACUAAUUCAUCAUCCAUGUGAUGGUCUUCCCACUAGAGCAAUGAUUACAGCCUUCCUAAAAAAAUGUGUCAAAGAAGACAGAACUUCUCAUGCAUUUAUGUCUGGCCUGGGAAAACAGAGACCUAGAGACUGGCAAGGUUAUAUAUGGACCAGAUUUUUAUCAUGGGAAAUACAUUGGAGGGCUGUGUGCUAAACAACCACAUAGAUCAAUUCAGAGACAAAUUGAAGAAAUAUCCGAUCUUUCAUUUGAGAUGUGCAUCAUCUCUGAAGCAUGAAGAAAUAUCCAAGAAAUUCUAUGUAUCUUGAAGUGUUGUGUACAAUGCGCAACUAUUUGGAGCUCUAGCAGCACACAUUGGAGAUUAUACUCUUCUUUUUAGGGUAUCUAACAUCACAUAUGAUUUAUCAUCUAUUUCAUUUCCAUCCUUUGAUUAC